rnacentral:rRNA from 1 species
AACGAACGCUGGCGGCAUGCCUAACACAUGCAAGUCGAACGAGACCUUCGGGUCUAGUGGCGCACGGGUGCGUAACGCGUGGAAACCUGCCCUUAGGUUCGGAAUAACUCCCCGAAAGGGGUGCUAAUACCGGAUAAUGUCUUCGGACCAAAGAUUUAUCGCCUUUGGAUGGGCCCGCGUUGGAUUAGCUAGUUGGUAGGGUAAAAGCCUACCAAGGCGACGAUCCAUAGCUGGUCUGAGAGGAUGAUCAGCCACACUGGGACUGAGACACGGCCCAGACUCCUACGGGAGGCAGCAGUGGGGAAUAUUGGACAAUGGGCGAAAGCCUGAUCCAGCAAUGCCGCGGGAGUGAUGAAGGCCUUAGGGUUGUAAAGCUCUUUUACCCGGGAUGAUAAGGACAGUACCGGGAGAAUAAGCUCCGGCGAACUCCGG